rnacentral:tRNA from 2 species
GGGUAAUUAGCUCAGCGGUAGAGCUCUACCGCCACGGGGUAGCGGCAGUUGGUUCGACCCCAACAUUACCCA